rnacentral:rRNA from 1 species
AUGCAGAGGUACGGGCUGCAGCUGCGCAAAAAGCCGGCGGCCUCCUCGUCGUCUCGACCGCCACCUCCGGCGCGCCCCCUGGCGGCCUUCGCCGACGACAGCGAUGACGAUGUGGAGGCCGACAUCCUCCGCCAGUCAUCGAAGAAACGCGCCCUCGAGAAGGUGGAGGAACUGCAGAAGAAGGCGAUGGAGGAGGAUCCCUCGGUGUUUGCUUAUGAUGAGGUGUACGAUGAUAUGAAGGAGAAGGCCGCUCGGCCCAAGAUACAGGCCAAGGUUGUUCGCGAGUCAAAGUACAUUGAAGCACUUAAGGAGAAAGCAGAACAACGUAAAAGAGAACAGGACAUAGUGUAUGAGAGGAAGCUUCAUAAAGAGAGGAGCAAGGAAGACCACCUGUUUGCUGACAAGGACAAGUUUGUAACAUCUGCCUACAGGAAGAAACUUGAAGAGGAGAAAAAAUGGCUAGAGGAAGAAAGACGACGGCAGCUUCAAGAAGAAAGGGAUGAUGUAACUAAAAAGAAAGACUUGAGUGAUUUUUACUUUGGGCUUGCUAAGAAUGUUGCUUUCGGUGCACGGACACAUGAGGGCACAGAAGCUGCAGAACCUGAAAAGUUGGAAAGUAAAGCAGAAGAUAUUCAAGGUAGCAAGUCUGAUGCCGAAGGAUCUAGUCGUUCUCCUAAGCGCAGGAGGGAAUCCAGUGGAGGAUCUGAGAAGGCUCAUGAAAGUGGAAGUGUGGCAGAAACUGCAACUACUGAGAAAGAUUCUACAUCUGCUAGAUCUACUGAGAAAGAGGCAUAUGUUUCCUCAUCUGCUUCACAGGCUCUCCAGAAUACUCAACCAGCACCAAUCACCGGUGAGCACUACAAGAGGAGUAAUGAUGCACUUGCCGCGGCUAGAGAACGAGCACUGGCUCGUAAGAGAGCAAAGGAGCAGCAAACAUGA